rnacentral:rRNA from 1 species
GACGAACGCUGGCGGCGUGCUUAACACAUGCAAGUCGAACGAGUGGCGGACGGGUGAGUAAUGCUUGGGAAUCUGGCUUAUGGAGGGGGAUAACGACGGGACACUGUCGCUAAUACCGCGUACCAUAGGAUGAGCCCAAGUGGGAGUAGGUAGUUGGUGGGGUAAGGGCCUACCAAUCCGACGAUCUCUAGCUGGUCUGAGCGGAUGACCAGCCACACCGGUAAUGAGCUACGGCCCGGAGUCAUACGGGAGGAAGCAGUGGGUAAUAGUGCGCAAUGGCGGCAACCUGACGUAGCAUUGCCGCUGGAAUGAAGAAGGCCUUCGUGUUGUAAAGUUCUUUCGGUGACGAGGCGUUAAUUACACAAGAAGCACCGGCUAACUCCGUGCCAGCAGCCGCGGUAAUUC